rnacentral:tRNA from 4 species
GCGCCUUUAGCUCAGUUGGUUAGAGCAUUACCUUCACACGGUAGGGGUCGGUGGUUCGAGUCCACUAAGGCGCACCA